UAGAUAGUAGGCGGGGUAACGGCCCACCUAGUCUUCGAUGGAUAGGGGUUCUGAGAGGAAGGUCCCCCACAUUGGAACUGAGACACGGUCCAAACUCCUACGGGAGGCAGCAGUGAGGAAUAUUGGUCAAUGGACGAGAGUCUGAACCAGCCAAGUAGCGUGAAGGAUGAAGGUUCUAUGGAUUGUAAACUUCUUUUAUACGGGAAUAAACGAAUCCACGCGUGGGUUUUUGCAUGUACCGUAUGAAUAAGGAUCGGCUAACUCCGUGCCAGCAGCCGCGGUAAUACGGAGGAUCCGAGCGUUAUCCGGAUUUAUUGGGUUUAAAGGGAGCGUAGAUGGGUUGUUAAGUCAGUUGUGAAAGUUUGCGGCUCAACCGUAAAAUUGCAAUUGAUACUGGCAGUCUUGAGUACAGUUGAGGUAGGCGGAAUUCGUGGUGUAGCGGUGAAAUGCUUAGAUAUCACGAAGAACUCCGAUUGCGAAGGCAGCUUACUAACCUGUAACUGACAUUGAUGCUCGAAAGUGUGGGUAUCAAACAGGAUUAGAUACCCUGGUAGUCCACACGGUAAACGAUGAAUACUCGCUGUAGGCGAUAUACGGUCUGCGGCCAAGCGAAAGCAUUAAGUAUUCCACCUGGGGAGUACGCCGGCAACGGUGA
rnacentral:rRNA from 1 species